rnacentral:tRNA from 1 species
CAUUAAGAAGCUUCUAUAGCACUAGCCUUUUAAGCUAGAGAGGGGGAAUAAAAGUCUCCCUUAAUGAG